GGAGGGUGGGAAGUGUCACUACUACGUUCCUAACUCUAUGGAAUACACGAAACGUGCAUAACUUAAAUAAAAUUUUUUUAUAAAAAAGAGAGAGAGGCUCAACAUUAAAACGUAGUUUCAAGCAAAACCAUGUGUUGAAUCCCUCCCGCUGGCUGAGCUGACAGUCGGGCGGCAAAGGUGUAGCUCCCCACACAGCGCACAUUUAACUUAGAGACAGACCCCUCAAGUAACAAAACCCUGCUACUCAGAGACCCCCAGGUAACAAAACCCUGCUACUCAGAGACCCCCCAGGUAACAAAACCUGCUAUUCAGAGACCCCCAGGUAACAAAGCCCUGCUACUCAGAGACCCCC